GACGAACGCUGGCGGCGUGCUUAACACAUGCAAGUCGAACGGAAAGGCCCUGCUUUUGUGGGGUGCUCGAGUGGCGAACGGGUGAGUAACACGUGAGUAACCUGCCCUUGACUUUGGGAUAACUUCAGGAAACUGGGGCUAAUACCGGAUAGGAGCUCCUGCUGCAUGGUGGGGGUUGGAAAGUUUCGGCGGUUGGGGAUGGACUCGCGGCUUAUCAGCUUGUUGGUGGGGUAGUGGCUUACCAAGGCUUUGACGGGUAGCCGGCCCGAGAGGGUGACCGGCCACAUUGGGACUGAGAUACGGCCCGGACUCCUACGGGAGGCAGCAGUGGGGAAUAUUGCACAAUGGGCGGAAGCCUGAUGCAGCAACGCCGCGUGCGGGAUGACGGCCUUCGGGUUGUAAACCGCUUUCGCCCGUGACGAAGCGUGAGUGACGGUAAUGGGUAAAGAAGCACCGGCUAACUACGUGCCAGCAGCCGCGGUGAUACGUAGGGUGCGAGCGUUGUCCGGAUUUAUUGGGCGUAAAGGGCUCGUAGGUGGUUGAUCGCGUCGGAAGUGUAAUCUUGGGGCUUAACCCUGAGCGUGCUUUCGAUACGGGUUGACUUGAGGAAGGUAGGGGAGAAUGGAAUUCCUGGUGGAGCGGUGGAAUGCGCAGAUAUCAGGAGGAACACCAGUGGCGAAGGCGGUUCUCUGGGCCUUUCCUGACGCUGAGGAGCGAAAGCGUGGGGAGCGAACAGGCUUAGAUACCCUGGUAGUCCACGCUGUAAACGGUGGGUACUAGGUGUGGGGUCCAUUCCACGGGUUCCGUGCCGUAGCUAACGCUUUAAGUACCCCGCCUGGGGAGUACGGCCGCAAGGCUAAAACUCAAAGGAAUUGACGGGGCCCCGCACAAGCGGCGGAGCAUGCGGAUUAAUUCGAUGCAACGCGUAGAACCUUACCUGGGUUUGACAUGGAUCGGGAGUGCUCAGAGAUGGGUGUGCCUCUUUUGGGGUCGGUUCACAGGUGGUGCAUGGCUGUCGUCAGCUCGUGUCGUGAGAUGUUGGGUUAAGUCCCGCAACGAGCGCAACCCUUGUUCACUGUUGCCAGCACGUUAUGGUGGGGACUCAGUGGAGACCGCCGGGGUCAACUCGGAGGAAGGUGGGGAUGACGUCAAGUCAUCAUGCCCCUUAUGUCCAGGGCUUCACGCAUGCUACAAUGGCUGGUACAGAGAGUGGCGAGCCUGUGAGGGUGAGCGAAUCUCGGAAAGCCGGUCUCAGUUCGGAUUGGGGUCUGCAACUCGACCUCAUGAAGUCGGAGUCGCUAGUAAUCGCAGAUCAGCAACGCUGCGGUGAAUACGUUCCCGGG
rnacentral:rRNA from 1 species